GUGUUAAAACCACCAUUAAGGUGACUACCCCCUUAAAAGUUAAUAAAAUGUACCUUAUUUCCAGCACCAUGCUGGCCCCACCCUUGCUGACAUCAAUAGAAUGUAUGAUUUUUAGCCAACCCAAUGCUUUCCCAUAGGAAAAUCAUUGGAUUAGCUAAAAUAGUCAAGGAGUCGGGGCGGGAGCUUGGCCAAUCAGCAUUUCCUCAUAGAGAUGCAUUGAAUCAAUGCAUUUCUAUGAGGGAAAUUCAGGGUCUCAAUGCAUAAUAGCCAUAUGAGGAGUGGCCACUUAGAUAUAUCCAUAGGGAGUAAUGUAAA